UUUUCUGUGUAUUAUAAGCUCUCAGUCAAGACUCAUUACCCUAAAAGAAUGUAAUUUAGUAGAGCUUCUCUUUUUUUAAAUUUCUUUUUAUUGUUGCCAUUUUCCCCCAUAAUGCGUAAAACCAUAGAGUUAUUUUUUGACCAUCCAAUGAUAGUCAUUUAUUCAUCCGGUAAAAAUGUUUUGGGCACCUAUCAUGUGCCAGGCCCUGCACUAAGGGAAACAGCUACCAACAAAACUGACCUCGGCCUUGUGAAGUGUGGAUUUUAGCCGAGAGACGGCGCGUCCACACAGAAAGGCAGUGAACGAGAGCAAAGGGACUAGAUCCUGACGGAGAGGUUGAUUCACGCAGGGUGCCAGGAAGGGGCUCUCUGAUCUGGUGACACUGGAGCAGAGUCGUGAAUGGGGUACAGGCUGGGCCUGGUGAAUAUCCGAGCAGGGAAAGUGUGGACGAAGCUGUGAGGCAGGAGCAGGAGGCAGACGGAUGAGUGAGGCUGGAGCCGAGCGCAUGGAGGGACCAGUGCUAGGGAAUGCGAUCCGGAAGGUGGUGGGGGUUCCAGAUCACAUGGGGACUUGAAGGCCCUGGGCAGGAUGUUAAAUUUUAUCCUAAGGAAGAUAAGCAGCAUUUAGAAGGGUUUCGAGGAGAGCAGUGCUGUGGCCUGAUUAAUAUUUCAGAAGGCUUUCUCUGGCUCUACGUGGAAAACAGACUCUGGCAGCGGGAUGGGGGGCAAGAGCGGCAGCAAGGAGCCUGGUUAGCACCCUUGCAAGGAUCCGGGCAGGAGAUGCUGGUAGUGUAGGCUGGAGGAGGAGGUGGGGGAGGAGGUGAUGGUAGUGGUAGUGGUGGUGGCAUCCACCACAUGAUAGUAGUAAUAGUAGUAAUAGUAGUAAAAGUAGGAGUAACUUGUUGUAAGAAGAGCUUCUGCGGAGAUCUUGAAGGUAUUGCCGGCAGGUUGUACUGAUGAAGUGGAUGGGGCAUGUGAGAGAAAAAGAGGCGGCAUGGACACCUCCGAGGGUUGUGGUGUGAGUCACUGAUAGAGCAGAACUUAGGUUUUAUGAGAUAGGAAAGGCUGGGGAGGAGGAGCAGGUGUGGUGGGCAGCACGUGUCAGUAAUUUCAUCGUAGACAUACUCACUUUGAGACGAUUGGCUAAAUCUAGAGUUCAGGGAGAAGUCAGAGUGGGAGGCAUAAUCUGGGCAUCCUUAAGUUAGACAUGGUAGUUAAAGCUAUGGGGUUGAGUGUGCCCCCUGUGGGAACAAAGGCUGUCAGAAGAGGAAGGUACAAAGACUGAGCCUUGGUUCCUUCCAGUGUUCAGAUUAGGAGGAUAAAGGUCCAGCAAGAGGAGGCUGGGACAGAGAAGAAAGAAGUUGUGUCCAGAAGACAAGUGAAGAAGGAGUUUUGAGGGGGUGUGACCAACCAUGUCUAACAGUGCUCAGUUAUCAAGUGAGAAGAGCCUGGGGAAAGACUCCUGCCUUUGUAACACAUUGGUCCUUGGCCCACUUGACAAGUGCAGUUUUGGUGGAUGGCGGUCUGGCUCAAGAGAAGACAGAAGUUUGGAAGAGAAAUGGACUGGAGGAUGAUCUGGGGCAAAGGAGGGUUUUUUUCAUCAUAUAUGUGUUUGUUAGACCUGGGUGUUGAUCGGGACGCCUGGGUGGCUCAGUUGGUU